rnacentral:rRNA from 1 species
UACGGAGGGUGCAAGCGUUAUCCGGAUUCACUGGGUUUAAAGGGUGCGUAGGCGGAUAGGUAAGUCCGUGGUGAAAUCCUGCAGCUUAACUGCAGAACUGCCGUGGAUACUAUCUAUCUUGAAAUGUCGUGGAGGUUAGCGGAAUAUGUCAUGUAGCGGUGAAAUGCUUAGAUAUGACAUAGAACACCCAUUGCGAAGGCAGCUAACUACGCGAUAAUUGACGCUGAUGCACGAAAGCGUGGGGAUCAAACAGGA